GAAGCGGGAAGAGCUCAAAUUUGAAAUCUGGUAGCCUUCGGUUGCCCGAGUUGUAAUCUAGAGAAGUGUUUUCCGUGCCGGCCCAUGUACAAGUCCCUUGGAACAGGGCGUCAUAGAGGGUGAGAAUCCCGUCCUUGACAUGGACCCCCGGUGCUUUGUGAUACACUUUCAACGAGUCGAGUUGUUUGGGAAUGCAGCUCAAAAUGGGUGGUGAAUUCCAUCUAAAGCUAAAUAUUGGCGAGAGACCGAUAGCGAACAAGUACCGUGAGGGAAAGAUGAAAAGCACUUUGGAAAGAGAGUUAAACAGUACGUGAAAUUGUUGAAAGGGAAACGAUUGAAGUCAGUCAUGCUCUUAGGAUUCAGCCGUUCUGCGGUGUAUUUCCUUUGAGUGGGGUCAACAUCAGUUUUGAUCGAUGGAUAAAGGCACGAGGAAGGUAGCACUCUCGGGUGAACUUAUAGCCUCGCGUCAUAUACAUUGAUUGGGACUGAGGAACGCAGCAUGCCUUUAUGGCCGGGAUUCGUCCACGUACAUGCUUAGGAUGUUGACAUAAUGGCUUUAAACGACCCGUCUUGAA
rnacentral:rRNA from 1 species